AUUGAACGCUGGCGGCAUGCCUUACACAUGCAAGUCGAACGGUAACGGGCCUUCGGGUGCCGACGAGUGGCGAACGGGUGAGUAAUGUAUCGGAACGUACCUUUCAGUGGGGGAUAACGUAGUGAAAGUUACGCUAAUACCGCAUAUUCUGUGAGCAGGAAAGCAGGGGAUCGCAAGACCUUGCGCUGAUUGAGCGGGCGAUAUCAGAUCGGCUAGUUGGUGAGGUAAAGGAUCACCAAGGCGACGAUCAGUAGCGGGUCUGAGAGGAUGAUGCGCCACACUGGAACUGAGACACGGUCCCGACUACUACGGGAGGCAGCAGUGGGGAAUUUUGGACAAUGGGGGCAACCCUGAGCCAGCCAUGCCGCGUGAGUGAAGAAGGCCUUCGGGUUGUAAAGCUCUUUCGGCCGGGAAGAAAUCGUAUCAGCUAAUACCUGGUGCGGAUGACGGUACCGGCAUAAGAAGCACCGGCUAACUACGUGCCAGCCGCCGCAGUAAUAC
rnacentral:rRNA from 1 species